AAAAGGCCUUAAAGUUACUAGUGAGGGCUCAAAACAGGCUGGGACAUCCUAGUAUGUCAUGGCACAGGCAUCCUGCUAUGUACCUGCUGCUGUUCUUUUCUAUUGCUGUUUGAAAAAGCAGGUACUUCAGUGGGAGCUGUGAAGCUUAAGACGACAGUCCCUCUUCUCCUCAGCCUGUCCCUAUUGCAGUGCCUGAUUCCUGAGGACAUCCAUGCCAAUGCAACCUGUCCAGGACCUUUUGCUUUUCAUCUUCUGCCUUUGCCUCCCCUCCUCCUGCCCCAGGUAAACAGAAGGAAACUCUUCUUUGGGUCACAGAGAGAGCCUCCACUGUGCCUGACAGCUGACCUGCUUUUAAGAUGCAGCUAUUGCAGCUCCACACAGUUCCUGCAGUGACAUCUCUGGCUGCCCCCAUCCAGUGACUUUCUCUGUGUGGACAAGAGAACCCCCCCCCCUUGAUUUCAGAUCAGAUGAACAGAGUUAAAAAGAAUUAAUCUUAAUUGGAUUUGUUGGGGUUUAACUCAAAACCCUCUUGUGUAGGAGCUACAAGAAAGGGAUGAAGGCUCAAAAUGCUCAUCCCAUGUCUUCUGGAAAGAACUUGAACACAAUUAAAGCAAAACAGCAGCAGAAACCAGGUGUUCUCUUCUCCUUUUCCCUUUGCUCUCCUUAGCCUCACCUCUUUCGUCCUGCUCUUUCUUUUUCCUUGGAAAAAUGAAACAGAGAGAAAGGGCUUGAGGGGAUGUGCAGGGCCAGGACUGAACAACAGUCCCGUUGUGUUCAGUUUCAGCUAUGCCCAGCAGAGGACAGUCAAAUAUCAUUAAUGGUAUCACCGACGAGAAGGAGCAAGGAGAACAUCCUUCCCCACCAAGGCAGAGCCGCUGGGCUGGGGGAAGUUAUAGCGACUUGUUCACCCAUCUAUGCUCCAUGAAUAUGGCCCCUGCUGCACGGGGAUGGAUUUCAGAGUGAGUGAGGAGCCAGAAGGUGUGGGACAAGCAGCUCCGGUGCAGAGAAGAGAACCAGAGGGGCUGUAGCAUCACUGCAACGUGGCCCUCCCAAACCUUCUCAAGGGAAGAGUUAAUCUGGGGAUGCUGUCCUAUCUUAAUGCCCCUUGAGUACCAUAUGGAAUCCCACACUGGUCUGGGUUGGAAGAGACCUUAAAGCUCAUCCAGUCCCAACCCCCUGCCACGGACAGGGACACCUUCCACUAGAGCAGGUUGCUCCAAGCCCCUGUGUCCAACCUGGCCUUGAACACUGACAGGGAUGAGGCUUUUGUCUCCCUAGGUUUUCUGUGCAGCUACUCAGAAGAGAGGAUACCCUGGAGGCCAACUCUGACUGAACCCAAAUAAAUCCAUUUCUCUUUUCACCAGCAUAUUCAGCCUUCGUGACUACUUCUCCAGAACAUAACAACAAAUGACUUUGUAGCUAGUAUUUAAAUUUCCCAAUUUCAGGCAUUCAAUUUGAUCCAUUUUUCCAUGUUUUUAUGAUCAUUUCUAAGGGCUUCAGAAAGUCAUUCUUGUUUCCUGUUACCGCCACUGGUUGAACUCAAGAACUGACCAACUGCCACUCUCUCAGAAAUACAUAGAGCCACGCUGCCCCUUAAGCAGAACAGAGUCCCAGGCCCCUGCCUCACUUCCUGGGAGAAGGAGAGCUCAUUGGCCACAACACAUCUGUAAGUAACAGAGCUGAGAGUGGGUCACUUACCAGCAGGGGAAACUGAGGCAGAGAACGACCACUGCUCCUCUCCCCGAGCUGUUCAGUCUCCACCUCGCUCCAGGGUGCAGUCACCUCAGCCUGAGCUUUGGCAGCAAACCCUUAAAUCUCUGCUUUUAAACACCUGCCAACAGACAGGAGCCAAAAUCCCUUCUCUGCCCUUGCAGAAAGGAGGCACAAACUGAUGGUCAAAUGGUUGAUGCUGCAAGGGCUGGAGCAGCUCUGCUCUGGAGCCAGGCUGAGAGAGCUGGGCUGGGUCAGCCUGGAGAAGAGAAGACACCUUAAGGGGAGACCUUAGAGCAGCUCUAGUGCCUAAAGGAGCUUCAGGAAACCUGGAGAGGGGCUUUGGACAAGAGCCUGGAGGGACAGGACAAGGGGAAUGGCUUUAACCCGCCAGAGGGGAGAUGGAGAUGAGCUCUUGGGCAGAAGCUCUUCCCUGUGAGGGUGCUGAGGCGCUGGCACAGACUUUUCCCAGAGAAGCUGUGGCUGCCCCAUCCCUGGCAGUGUUCAUGGCGAGGGGCAACACUGAGGUUCUCCCACUGCCAUGGGAGCUCC
rnacentral:lncRNA from 1 species